rnacentral:ncRNA from 4 species
CAACGGAAUCCCAAAAGCAGC